CGGGCACAAGCCCGACCCCACAGCAUGGAGAGGAAAAACCCGGUCCAGUCUGGAGCAUCCGCCUGGGCCGGCCGACACGUCUCUUAUCUAGUUUUCCCACUUGACCAACAAGCUGGAGGAGCUGUUACCUCCUUAACUGUAAGAUCACCCUGGGUUCAACAGGACUGCUGAUGUGCUCUCUGUUUACAGAGAAAAUGGAGACGCGGCCCUCCAUGCCCCAUGGGACAACACGUUCAUCCUCAGAAGGGGGUUGUCGCUGUGGGUACCGUGUGUUGAAUAUGGACCCUCCCCAGCUGGAUCCCAGCCCAUGCAAAGGAUGCACCUUUCUGGGCUUUGGAUCUGGCUCAACAAUCCCAAAUUCAGACUUUCCUCUGCUUUCUCACCUUUGAUUUCAUAGCCCUACAGACAGGAUUCCCCAAAGUACACUACCUACCAAGAAGGGAGACAUCCCCUCGUUCAGAUGUUGUCCUUACUGCAAAGUUCGUGAUACCUCUCCCAGUCUUGAAGAGGAUUUACCAGGGGAAGCAGGUGAGGGAGUUAAAAGGCUACAGCUGCUCCUCCCCACCCCUGUUAGCAACCCCAGUGCUAACUUGCACCCAGCUUUGCUGGUAAGUGAUAGUCACCUGGCUGUGCACCCCAAGAACAGAAGCAUCUGCUUCGCUUCCAGGCAACAGGGUCUGCUGAUAGUCAGUCACAGUACAGGAGAAUGUGGUAAUAAUUCAUGUGCGUAUAAAUCAAAUGAUGCAUUUAAAAAUCCAGCAGAAUAAGUGGAUAUUUUUUUUCCUCCCCCAAAAUACAUUGUAGAUCAAAGCUUAAUUAAUUUGGGAAAUGUUGUGGCUUGCAUAUGUAGACAAAUUUAGAAGAUCAUAUUAUUCCCUUCUGGCGAUAUAAUCUAUGAGUGAGGUUUUCUGCAAUACACUACCCUUUCUUGAUUAUGCAGCUUUUUCAGAAAAGUCCUAUUAUUUUUUUCAUGUAAAUACAACCAGAGGAAGAUGGCUUUUGAUUUAUACACAAAUCAAUACUCCCUUCUGAUUGAACUCGCGCUGCGCUGCUGUAAUUAUAUUCAUGGAUUUUGUGUAGGUGUAAGACAGGAAGCAAUUAUCAGCCUCAGCCAUGAGCGCAUAUAAAAGAAAUCUCACUUUUCUUUGGAACCAUAACAUUAACGACAUUCUCUAUCUAACAUCAGCCCCUUUCACAUGACUUCUGCUAACUGCACUGUUGUUUAGCUGAGGAAAAAGUAAUAGCAGAUAGCUGUGAUUAAAUAACAUCUGCAUGAAUUUAGGGUGCUGCAGUGUUUGGAGCUUUGCCUUGCUGAAAAAAGCCAAUGUUUUUAAUUUGUAUCAAAACAGGUGAUGGGUUUAAUUCAAGCAUUUUCUUUUCUAUUGAGCUGAAAGCUAAUCAUGGCUGUAAUUCAUUCCUUAGUGAUUCUCUGCAAUGGCAGGUGUUGCAGGAGCAUUUAAGGAAAGUGUCAUCAAGGCAGUUUCACUGGGAAAAGGCAUGGUAAAAUAAAUGCGUAAAUAGUCUGCUUAAAGAUGGUCUGAAUCAUUUUAAUUACCAGCACUCAGUCACCGGUGGGCUCUGGAGGGGUAGCAUUGUAACACCGGCAUUGUUACUGUAAAAAAAAUCUGUCACCUGGACAGUAGUAUGCCACCUCUGACAUUGAAAUGCAUCAGAGUCACCUGGAGGCGAUUGCAAGUGCCCAGCUGAAGUCUUAACUUUGU